AUCAACCUCACCAUUUUUCUCUAUAAUACACUGUAAAAAAUGCGCUUAGAAAAUAAACACUUCCGUUACGUGUUUUGACCUAAACAUGUAUAAGAUUGUGUUUAACGGCUAAACACUUAGGUCUAAACGUGUGUUAGAUUGUGUUGAACGGCUAAACACUUAGUUCUAAACGUGUGUUAUAUCUAAAUGAUGUUAAGAUUUAACACAUGUUUAGAUAUAAGUGCUUAGAAAUUGAACACUUUUCUGUGAAGUGCAGAGUUAUCUUCCCGGAAAUGACGCAUAUAUAUUCGAAUGAUAAAUAGAGCGGUUAUCGAAACAAAGAAAAUCCCAAUGUUAGCUAAAGAAGAUGGAAGAAAGGAAGUGAAUGCUAAUCAAAGUGAUAACCAUGAAGAGAUUGUGAAAUGCAUUUAAAAUGCAACAUUACUGCGAUAAAAGGAUAUGGUUGACAUCGAACUUGAAAGCAAAAAUACACGUAUCAGAGGAACUGUCGUCAUCUCCAACGUCACAAUGACAUGCCAUCGUUUUUACAUUUUUCAACACUUCUUACUUUCUAGAGGAAACUGAGUUUUGUGAAAUCUGCUGCUUUGAACAACCUAAAAAUAUUCUCAAAUAAUGGCAGUGGAUUACCUACUGACGGUCA